GAUAUUUUUCAUAUUCCAUUUCACUUUGCUUUCCCAUCUUCUCUUACAUUACUGCACACGUAAACACUCAUCAUAUACAAUAUCGGCUUACCCGGGCAAAUCUAUCAAAUUUUGGAUUCAUUUCAGUAGCUGCUUUGCAAUUGCUUGCUGCUUUAAAAUGCUUGCGCUGCUUGGGCUUAGAAUUCAUUCAUAUUCAUAUUAUUUAUUUGCUAACUAAUUGUAGCUAGAAGAUCGAAUUCGCCCAGUAGGGCGAUCUAACUACAUGAAAUGGUUUUUAUUUAAAAUAGAAAGACCCGUGUCUUUCUAUGUGUCUAGGUAUGUCUUGACGCGAUAUUUAUGAAUGAGUUACAUUAUGUACUCACUGCUUGACGUUUAGUUAUAAUGGGUGGGACGCGAAUGAUUAAAAUCUGUUUUUAAUGUUAUACAUUUCAUGUAGGUAGAUGGGGAGUAGAAGGGAGAGUGCAUAACAAAACUAAUCUUACUAACCAUUGGCUUGCCUUUAAUUAAUUAUAAGAUCAAAUUAAUGUUAUGGUACUAUCCCAUGUGCCAACCUCACCUGCUCGCGCCAACAGCCGGCUGUUGGCGGCAGCGGCGUGGCUCACCGCGAGAGUGAGACGCUCCGCUGCGGUGCUCCCUGCUGUCUUACUGACGAGGCUCUGGCUUUAACUAAUAUUUAUGGCUGUCUUUUACUAACAUUGUAUGUCAUGUUAUAGAGCUUGCAGAUGGACUAACCAGGCUGGCAGUGUGUGGCAGCUAACUUGUUUAUAAAUGUGGAAACAUCUCAUUCACACAAAACACAGAUGAGCCGUGCAAUGCUUUGAUGUGUCUCUAAUUAUACAUCGAUGUAAACUCUAACAAUGCAUAGCCAAAUAUAAAUCUAAUUUUAAUAUGUUUUAUAUUACAGAUGACAAACGAUUUAUUAGUAAUAUCACUGUUUAUAUCUUAUCUGGAUAAGAUACUCAAUUAGACAUCAAGAUGACUGUCACUCGUACACUCAAAAGAUACUAAGAGUAUAGAAGCCAAAAGAGAAACUUGAGUGAUGCAAAAGUUAAAAUUGCUACGAUGGUGCUCACCACAUCUACUCGCAAGUCAAGUUCCUCAAGAUGAAGCAUUAAUAACGCAGCCCUGACAAAAUAAUGCAAAUUUGAAGAAUUCAUAAACAUAAAAAGAACUAACUACUAAUUAAGGUAUAGACUAGAAGAAAUAAUAAAAAUUAAAAUGUAAUAUAAUACUUAGCUACCUACGUUUCGCUACUUCAUACUGAACUGAACCGGAGUCUGACAAUGCACCACACGACCUUUUUCUGAUUAUGUAAAACGCCAUGAAUAGAAUAGAAUUGAUCACAUCUCACAAGGAAGGAGGAGUGAUAUCGCCAAGAAGAAAUUACUGUCUCAAUGCGUAAAAUAUUACUCUACGAAGCAAGAAGGCUAAGAAUGAAGAAAGAAAAGAAGACAAAACAUAAA